CAUAAAUACAAUGAAUAUCUAAAUGAGAUGUGGACAUACGAAGGACCGGAUUGUAUCCAAAAAUUUUGUCAAGCACUUAGGAUGAAAACCGAUGGACUUUAUGAGAAGUACUGGAAGUCCUAU